GAUGAACGCUGGCGGCGUGCCUAAUACAUGCAAGUCGAGCGAACAGACGAGGAGCUUGCUCCUCUGACGUUAGCGGCGGACGGGUGAGUAACACGUGGAUAACCUACCUAUAAGACUGGGAUAACUUCGGGAAACCGGAGCUAAUACCGGAUAAUAUAUUGAACCGCAUGGUUCAAUAGUGAAAGACGGUUUUGCUGUCACUUAUAGAUGGAUCCGCGCCGCAUUAGCUAGUUGGUAAGGUAACGGCUUACCAAGGCGACGAUGCGUAGCCGACCUGAGAGGGUGAUCGGCCACACUGGAACUGAGACACGGUCCAGACUCCUACGGGAGGCAGCAGUAGGGAAUCUUCCGCAAUGGGCGAAAGCCUGACGGAGCAACGCCGCGUGAGUGAUGAAGGUCUUCGGAUCGUAAAACUCUGUCAUUAGGGAAGAACAAAUGUGUAAGUAACUAUGCACGUCUUGACGGUACCUAAUCAGAAAGCCACGGCUAACUACGUG
rnacentral:rRNA from 1 species